rnacentral:tRNA from 1 species
AGUGAUUCUCCUGCCUCAGCCUCCGGAGUAGCUGGGAUUACAGCAAAGAUAUCCAGACGCUGUAUGCAGGAAGAACUGAAUUUCAGAGGACACCGUUUGAUCUUCAACACCUGGCAGUUUACAAAACAGCCUGAAGAGGAGAGGGGGAAUCCUGGUGAGAAGCAUUUGGAAUUCAAGCUCAGAGAAGAAGACACGGAGUCCCAGCUGAGAACUCAAACUGGUAGAAGGAAGAUUAUUUUUCCUUCUCUAUAGGUGCUUGGAGGUAACGAGGGGAAAGGAGUUGAAAGGAAGGUGACAUUUCAGGUAUUGAUGGGACAGCACGUGCGAGGCCUAGAGGACUGAAAGUUCUUGAUGGGAUCUGUCAGAAGAAAACAGCUGCGUGUACAGGGGAGAAGUGGGAGGGGCGGGUCGGCUAGCGAGCUGAGACGGAGCUGCGCGUGCGUCGAAGUCGGGGCUGUGGGGGCGGGGUGGGUCCGGGGCGCGCUCACCGGAUCGCCGGCGAGCUACGGCUACCACCCGUCAUCUCUUUUCAGCUAAUCUGCUUCGCGCUACUUUUUUGAGGUGGGCACCUGGGAUGGAGGCAAGGAAUCACGAAGUGGCGUCUCCUCGGAAGGGGCAGCCUGAUGUCUUUAACCACUGAACUGUGGUUUCCAACUGGAUGCGCUUUGGGUUCAGGGCUAAGACACGCGUAGGCGGUGCAGACAGUUCAAUUCGUGGGCGGCUUUUUCUCUCCCCUGCGCGGUUUUGCAGAACUGAGGAUUCACGUUUGCCACGCAGUCUCUAAAUCCUCCUCCCAGCCCUCGCCGGAUUUCUGCAUCGGAAUUGGAUUGGAUCACACACAAAAGAAGAGCCCAGGAACUCGUUCACCACCUUGCACCUUGCCUGUUAGUUCACGGCAUAAUGGUAACAGAGUCUUCAUUAAUGGAAGCAACGUUACUACCGUGAGCCCGGAUAGCUCAGUCGGUAGAGCAUCAGACUUUUAAUCUGAGGGUCCAGGGUUCAAGUCCCUGUUCGGGCGGUAUCUUUUUUUUCCUCAUUAAAAGAGUAAGAACCAAUUUUAGGAUCUUUUGUUUGUUAACACACUGCAAAAGAAGGGAAUAAAGUCCUGGAUUGUGUAAACUGCGACCCCAAACACUUCUCGGAGGGUAAGCCCUCUAUGGGGAUAGGCCUUUGUGCAGAGGUAUACGGGAAACUUCUAAUCCAUCACUUUGGGGGCUGUAAUAGGCAGAUUAUUCUGUAGCCACCAGCCGGGCUGCUGUAUCCCAACAGCGGAUAUAUCAAAGGA